AAUUCAGUCUUGAAGCCAAAAAUUCAACUUUCAAAUAAAAGUACAUCAUGUCAAAUGAGUUUUACAGUAGAUGACAACCACAAGGAAACCAACAACCACAGAGACACCGGAUGCAAGAGGAGGAAGAGAAGACUUCAAAUGGGCCAAUGAAAAAAAUGUCCAAGUCCUAUGGAUAGUGGAAGAAUGUUAUCUAGAAAAAAAAAAUAAUUUUGUCUAACUAAUGACAGAACAUUCAACACAAUGUUGUUUCAGAAAGAAUAUUAUCUCUAAACAUCCAAACAUAAUGAAUGAUAUGUGAUGAUGAUG
rnacentral:sRNA from 1 species